UGUAGUAAACUCUGGAAGGACACAUGC
rnacentral:piRNA from 1 species